UCCGCAUCGCGCCAAGAACGAACAGGGCUACGGCCCCAGCGACGCAGAUCCGCUGGAUUCAAGAUCCCAGUAAAUUGCGAACAUCUGCUUCCAAAGCAGACAGCAGUGCUGAGGCUGACCAGGAUGCUGCUGACAGCUCCAGCUGAAAACAUUUAGGAAAAAGACUGUGCACUCAGGAAGCUGGCAAUGUACACCACUCAGAUGUUGUAUAUCUCUUAGAUAGUUUUGUUAAUUUAUUUUUU